rnacentral:lncRNA from 1 species
ACAAGAUCUCUCUGUUGCCUUUAUUUUAGGAUUAUAUGCUACAGCUGGGAUGUAGGUAUUGCUGUAGAAGUUUAUUCUUGUAGGUCUGAGCUUUGCCUUAGAACAGUCCCCUUUCUGAUGCUAGGUGCUGCCCAUGUAGUGAACCUCUUAGCUACGAAGAGUUUAACUCUGAUAUCUGGCAGUAGAAAAUUCUUCUUCUGUGGAAUCGAAGACUUAAGGUUAUCUACAGAAGACACAGCAUGUCAGAGCAUAAAACCACUAAGGACUGCAAAGUUAUCCAGUAUCAAGGAGAAAGGAUCUUGUGCCUUACCACCAGAAGAGACCAAGUCCUGGGAAGCCAUGAGUCAGCUGAGGAUGUGAUGCCAGAGUGGAUCUGCAGCUGAAGAGCUCGUGGGACCAGGAUGUGGUCUGUGAAUGCUGUAUAUCCUUAAAUGCAUGCAAUUUCUGCUUUAUUUGCUUUUCAUGGGGCUCCUAGGAGUACAUUUUUCCCCUGAAGAGGAACUGGUGGCAUCAGGCACGUGGCAUUUCCACCACUUGGGGUGAUCACAGAGAGGGAACAGCAAAGCCUGGAGAGGUGUUUUAUACAAGAAUGCCCUCUUUAACGGGGACACUGCUGUCUGUCAAAGGUUGAACUGAUCUUUUCAGCAGUAGAUUUUCUGUCUUCUUCCUACCUGUCUAACUUUCAUGGUUUUUGAAGGAGUUAAGCAUUAUUUUUUUUUUUUUUGGGUGUCUUUCAUAUUGUGCAAGCUUUAGACACUGCACUGGGAAAGUUUUAAGGGAAGAAAACCAGCAGUAGCUGUUGACAGACACACAGACAUUUUCUUGGGCAAGCAGGGUAAAAAGCUGUCUGUGUGUAUUAUAGCGCUAUAUUCUUGAUGUACACAGUAAAAUAUGAGGAGGUUUUUUGGUCUGAUUGAUUUUUCAGCCAUGUUAAUGAGAUCUAGGCAUUAGUAUGUGAAGCAAUUAUAAGUAAUUAAGGUUAUUAUAAACCAUGUAAUUUGACGAA